AUUACUGAGUUUACGCUCUACAACCCUUUGUGAACAUACCUAUAACUGUUGCUUCGGCGGGUAGGGUCUCCGUGACCCUCCCGGCCUCCCGCCCCCGGGCGGGUCGGCGCCCGCCGGAGGAUAACCAAACUCUGAUUUAACGACGUUUCUUCUGAGUGGUACAAGCAAAUAAUCAAAACUUUUAACAACGGAUCUCUUGGUUCUGGCAUCGAUGAAGAACGCAGCGAAAUGCGAUAAGUAAUGUGAAUUGCAGAAUUCAGUGAAUCAUCGAAUCUUUGAACGCACAUUGCGCCCGCCAGCAUUCUGGCGGGCAUGCCUGUUCGAGCGUCAUUUCAACCCUCAAGCUCUGCUUGGUGUUGGGGCCCUACAGCUGAUGUAGGCCCUCAAAGGUAGUGGCGGACCCUCCCGGAGCCUCCUUUGCGUAGUAACUUUACGUCUCGCACUGGGAUCCGGAGGGACUCUUGCCGUAAAACCCCCAAUUUUCCAAAGGUUGACCUCGGAUCAGGUAGGAAUACCCGCUGAACUUAAGCAUAUCAAUAAGCGGAGGAAAAGAAACCAACAGGGAUUGCCUCAGUAACGGCGAGUGAAGCGGCAACAGCUCAAAUUUGAAAUCUGGCCCUAGGCCCGAGUUGUAAUUUGC
rnacentral:rRNA from 1 species